UUGUUAUUUGUAAUUAAGUGGACCUUCACAUCCGCGUCUUCUCUCUCUAAAAAAACUCGCUCCCCCUCUGUUCCUCUCUCUAGGGUUUCAGCGCCGCUUUGUGCUCUUUGCGAUCGGAGAGUUUAGCUUCUACGGCUCUAUCGAAUAAGGUGGGCUCAUCUGCAGCACCGCCUUUUGGGCUGCCGUCAUGGGCUCCUGCUGCUAGACAGACUAUUCUUGGAGGUGGGAUUGAAGCCUUGACAGAAAGAGGGAGGGUAAUUAUGUAAUUGGAGAUGGUGGUAGUAGGCAAGGGUCAAUAGAUUCCCAAGGAGGGGGAUGUUCUUCAAGUGUGUCAGAAUUGGAUAGUAAACCACUUCAAGGUAUUAUGAUUAAUCUCUUAUACCAACUUCCUAUAUAUGCUAUUACUAUUUUUAGUUAUAUAGCUAUUAUCAACAAAAAAAAGAAAGAAAGAAAAAGAAAUUGAAAUAUAUCUACUUGUUUAUCUGCUGUGCAAUUUUUGGGGUUUGAGAGCUUUAUAUUAAGAAUAUUGGUAGCUUUUUUUAAGUAUAUUCUGUAUAGAAAGUUGUUGAUUAUUGACUACUGCUAGUAAUGCUCUGGAGUUUCUUGUUUCAUAUCCUAGUAGUUCUGCUACCAAAUAAAAGUAAUGGAAAGUGUUAAUUAAAACGAAAAUGAAGAUGUAGAGGUAGAGGGAGAGAGAGGGAGGGAGGGAGGGAGGGAGGGAGGGAGGGAGGGGGGGGGAGAGAGAAGAAGGAAGAAACGAUGGAUCAUGUGGAUGGAAGAAAGGGUAAUUACGGAGAAUUGAAUUAGCAAUUUGUCAAUGCAUACUCACAAAAAUUCAUUAUUAUCAUUGAUCAUAUUAUUGGAGCUAAAAUGUUUCAUUGAUUAAGCUUCUUGCCAUUCAGAAGAAACUUUGUUAAAGAUUUAAGCUUUUAGAUUUGAUAGCGUAGUAUUUUAAAUCAGAGUAAAAUAGGGUGUGCAAUGUGUGUUUAAUAUCAGUUCUCUCUUCAAACCAUGUGGUGCAUUUACAGAAAUUGAACUAUCCAAUUUUUCCAUACAGCCCACUGCACGUUGAGUUGGUUCUUUAAUUAAACAAAAACUGCUCCAUACUUGCUUAUUUAGAAUCUUGAUGUAAAGCUAAAAACUUUUUAACUUGAAAGUUAUCAAGAUUGCUAGCAUAUGAUAAUGAAUUCCUGUUCCAGUGUCUUCUAUUUUCUGUUUUUCACAAGGUGCACUAAUCUUAUGCAUGUGGGUUUGUGAAUUUGUUGUUGUGUCUUGUGUAUUUAUUGUAAAUUGCAUGCCACCAAUUAGAAUGCUUUCUUGUUUGCUUCUUACUUUUUUAGGAUAUCAUUUUGCCCUCUCAGUCCCACAAUCUUGCAAGCAGUCUGGGGUUGUUGAUUAGUGGUUUAUUUUAUAAAAAUUAGGGAGCAAGCGAGGAUAGUUUUAUGAGCAAAGAUCAGGGAAUGAGUAGAUUAAGUUGGUGUUUAUUUUGAUAUUUUAAAAAAAUAAUUAAUUCGAUAACAGUUCUGAACAAUUAGCUAUAUCAAUGAGAGUUCCCGCUAGAAUCUUAAUGAGGCUAUCAGAUGCUAUGAUUGCCUUAUUUCUCUUUCUCUUUUGUCGGUUGUACUACACACGAUAAAAAGAUAUCGGUAACUAAUGUCCUGAUUAGACAAACUAAUAGUUUACUUUUCUUUUACCUAAAUCUUUUAAUAGCAUAAAUAAUAUUUCCUCCGUUCUACAAAAAGAAUCCCAUUUGAAAAAAAAAAUCAAAUAUUAAGGAUAUAUUUUGUUCCAUGUUUACCCCUAAAAAUAAAAGAAGUUAGUUUAAUAGUAGUGGUAUUACAAUGAAGUUAUGAUGGCAAACUUGAGGGCCUUUGUCAUUUUAUAUUACUAUCAAUAAAAUGAGGACUAAUCUUGUAGAACAAUUUUUUGUUUUUUUUUGACAAAUGGAUUUAUUUUUGUGGAAUAGUGGGAGUACUAAUUUUGGUGGUUUUUGGUUUUUUUGUGAUUUAACAUAUGAAGUAUAUGCAAAAUAGCAUAUAAUCUAUUUAUGUGUUUCAUCUGUUUUUCAAUAUAGUUGAGGUGAAGAGCAGUUCUGAUGGUUUCAUGAUCAAAAUGAGAGAUGGUCGACAUUUAAGAUGUGACCAUACCAACCCUCAGGGACUAUUCUUCAUCAAGUACUAUUCUUGUAGGACCCAAUUAUGAAGGGGAGGGACUUAUCUCGCUGACCUGGGUAUGUUCUGCCCUUACCACUUAAAAAUUCCCAAGUUAUUAAUAAAUGUGUCUUUCCAAUGUGUGCUGCAACAUGUUGAAUUCUUGGUAAAUAAAUCUAUGAUGUCUGUGAUUAUAGCUAGCAUCUUUGGGGCAUAUACUGUAUGAAAAUUUGUCUUAAGAAAAGUUUUUUCACAUUGACUAAUAGUCUCAACUUUUUCGUAAUUGUUGUCCUUUUUAUAUAGAAAUCUAAACAUUGUUAUUUAAGAUUGUGUGGUGGUAUUUAAGAUUGUGUGAUGCUUGUGGUUGUUGAAUGUGACUGAAUUUUGACUUGAGGUCAACAUAUAAUAAUAAUCUACAAGUCUUGUAACAGAAAAUAUGUUUACCACUAUGCUUACUGAAAUUAAUUCAUGAAAUGGCCGAUUAAGAUUCCAAUAUUUUCUUGUAAUUGAGCAAUAAUAUAGUCGCACUGAAGGUUCUUUUUCUAUUUUGAUUUGUAGCAAAUGAUAUUGUGAUCGUCUAUUUGUCUUUUUCUGCUUAUGAGCAAUACGGUGUACAUUAGUACCACGUAGCAACUCUAUUGUCUUUGUGUAUUGAUUUUGGCACUAAGUGCCUUUGGUGACUUAUUUGCUUCAUUUUUCUGACUUGCUAUUAUUUUUAAAUACGUGCAGGAAGAUUGCUUCUACGACCUGCCUUACAAUAUUGGGUAUCAAAUUUCUGUGCUACGCUUACGGAAGACAAGGGACGAAAUUAUGAAGUGUACUCUCUAUAUAUGUAGAUAUAUACUUUGAUUGAAGAACUGUGGUAGCUUUAGAUGGUUAAUUGUAAAGAUAAUGAAUGAUUAUGUAGUGAAUGAUUUUAUUAAGUUAAUAAUAUUUUAGUUUUUUGUAUUUUUGUCAUUAUUUGCUAUCGGG
rnacentral:lncRNA from 1 species